rfam:Populus trichocarpa scaffold_15_contig_116, whole genome shotgun sequence.
UCUAGAACCCGAGAUAUGGACUGAACACUGAAUAGUGUUUGUGCUGCAGGACAGAUUCAGACUUCUCCUUUUCUGCUAAGAUUUGGACUCCAAAACAUAAUACUUAAGUCUUGGACUCUUCAUGAAUGUUUUAGGUCUAUGUCUUAGCUUUUUAGC